AACUUUGCACAAGCAAUUGGUUCAUAGAUUGAUUAAAAAGGGAAUCGGGUGCAACUCCCGAACAGUCCCGCUGCUGUGAACACCUGCGGCCUCGACAGGCGAGGCAGGCAAACCAUCACGUCACUGACAUUUUUUCGGGAAGACGGUUUGCCAGUGGUCAUCACUGCGAUGACAGAGGUGUGAGUCAGAAUACCUGCCGUUGCUAUAUAUAUAAU
rnacentral:ncRNA from 2 species